UACAGAGGUCUCAAGCGUUGUUCGGAUUUACUGGGCGUAAAGGGCGCGUAGGCGGCCACCGCAAGUCGGUUGUGAAAUCUCCGGGCUUAACCCGGAAAGGUCAACCGAUACUGCGGGGCUAGAGUGCAGAAGGGGCAACUGGAAUUCUCGGUGUAGCGGUGAAAUGCGUAGAUAUCGAGAGGAACACCUGCGGCGAAGGCGGGUUGCUGGGCUGACACUGACGCUGAAGCGCGAAAGCUAGGGGAGCGAACGGG
rnacentral:rRNA from 1 species